GCCGUUGUAGCUCAGUUGGUAGAGCGCGUUCAUGGUAAGAACGAGGUCAUCGGUUCGAUCCCGAUCAAUGGCU
rnacentral:tRNA from 1 species